GUGGCUGCAGUUGAUUAAUCCAAAAGUUCAUUGAUUUCUUCAAGUACCCAAUUUCUUCCAUUGUCCCCAAAUUGUCAUAUCCCUCUUAAAACUGAAUCCUAAAUCUUUUCUUCCAUGUUGAACAAUUCUCCUCCCUUCAGUUUGAUUGGGUCAGUGUUAAGAACUAUGCCAUCCUUGAGUAAAUAACUGCCAUCAAGAAAAUACAAUGCCCUGAAUGGUUCAGACCUGAGCUCCCUAACAAUCAUUUACUUGCAUCUUUCCGACACUCCACACUGUCAAGACGCUCCUCUACUACAGAAUGAUCCCCACUGGAGCUUCUUUUUAGGAACCCAAUUUGAAACUGUUAUAUUGUU